rnacentral:rRNA from 1 species
AUUGAACGCUGGCGGCAGGCUUAACACAUGCAAGUCGAGCGGAGACUUCGGUCUUAGCGGCGAACGGGUGAGUAAUACCUAGGAAUCUGCCUAUUAGUGGGGGAUAACGAAUCGAAAGGUUCGCUAAUACCGCAUACGUCCUACGGGAGAAAGGGGGGGAUCUUCGGACCUCUCGCUAAUAGAUGAGCCUAGGCCGGAUUAGCUAGUUGGUAGGGUAAAGGCCUACCAAGGCGACGAUCUGUAGCUGGUCUGAGAGGAUGGCCAGCCACACUGGAACUGAGACACGGUCCAGACUCCUACGGGAGGCAGCAGUGGGGAAUAUUGGACAAUGGGGGCAACCCUGAUCCAGCCAUGCCGCGUGUGUGAAGAAGGCCUCGGUUGUAAGACACUUAAGUACGAGGAGGAA